rnacentral:rRNA from 6 species
UGGGUUGCAAAAGAAGUAGGUAGCUUAACCUUCGGGAGGGCGCUUACCACUUUGUGAUUCAUGACUGGGGUGAAGUCGUAACAAGGUAACCGUAGGGGAACCUGCGGUUGGAUCACCUCCUUACCUUAAAGAAGC